ACAGGUGGUGCAUGGUUGUCGUCAGCUCGUGUCGUGAGAUGUUGGGUUAAGUCCCGCAACGAGCGCAACCCUUGAUUUUAGUUGCCAGCAUUUAGUUGGGCACUCUAAAGUGACUGCCGGUGCAAGCCGGAGGAAGGUGGGGAUGACGUCAAAUCAUCAUGCCCCUUAUGACCUGGGCUACACACGUGCUACAAUGGAUAGUACAAAGGGUCGCGAAGCCGCGAGGUGGAGCUAAUCCCAUAAAACUAUUCUCAGUUCGGAUUGUAGGCUGCAACUCGCCUACAUGAAGCCGGAAUCGCUAGUAAUCGUGGAUCAGCAUGCCACGGUGAAUACGUUCCCGGGCCUUGUACACACCGCCCGUCACACCACGAGAGUUUGUAACACCCGAAGUCGGUAGGGUAACCU
rnacentral:rRNA from 1 species